rnacentral:tRNA from 1 species
UCCGUUGUGGUUUAGUGGUUAGGAUUUACGGCUCUCACCCGUAAGACCGUGUUCGAUUCCCGGCAACCGAA